GAGCCACUGCCUGUUCACCCCGCUAUCAUCCAGAAGGCGAGGAGAACAUGUGGUCCUUGUAAAAAAUGCCAGCGUAGAGCCCAGCCUGGUUCGAUGUGGAUGUUCACCACCAAGAACUGGCUGGGCUACACCAAGAAAAAGUAGCCCAUCAUUCAGAAAAACAACGUACCAGUAAAGGUGUUGCAGGAUUACGUGAAUCUGGUUGAUGACACGGAGCAGAAGAUCAGUUUGGCGCAGAAGUAUAAAUUUCACGACGUCAUCAUCAAUAUGAAACAUACACACAUGUUAUAGCUCUAGGUAGUAAUUGCCCCUAACCACAGAUCUAGGAUCAGAAUAUGCAGCCCCAAAUCCUAACCUUUACGCUUAGUGGGAUAGAAAAAUGUCUGACCCUGGAUUAGCAGUUAGGGGUAACCAACCAAUUUCCAUGUUCUAAAGCACUAUAUUGAGUAUUGAUCAGCUAUUUAUUUAUGUAUUUCUUAUUUUUUACCAGGUAUGUCAAAUUAUUGUGUACAACACAGACAUCCCAAUACUGAUCUUUUUCCACUUAUUGGCGGUUUGGCCAAUCAGAUCAGCUCUUUUGACAAUAAUUGGGCAAAAGAUAAGAAUUGGGCUGCCUGUGUAAACACAGCCUAGCACUACUGUUACUGCUAUUUACUAUAACUUACAUUGGUAACAGUACUGCAGUGUAAUACUAUGCCUACAAUGCCUAGUGCUCAAGAGCUCAAACAAUUGUGGAAAAUUAUAUCAUUGACAGUACAGAUAACAUACAAUCUCUUUUAAUGGCAUCACAUGGGUCGUUCCAUGAAUAGAGUACAUUUUGUGUAGUGUAACUUAAUAAAAAAAACUACAUUUCCCCAAAUUUUUACAUUCUGUCAUAAAGAGCACACGUUCAACUUCAUUAAAUAACAUGUUUUCCCAUCUCAAUAGGUUCAUUUUAAAAAAUGACUACAGUAAGUGCCAAUAAAGUGCCAUUAAUGUAACAGGGUUGACCUUAACAGGGAUGAGGUUUUCAUCUUAAAUCAGCCAUAAAUCCCCUUGUGACAGUGGAAAUGAAAGCUUGUUGUGCGCAAUAGGGAAAGGUAAUUGAAUGCAAGCUUCACAAAAACAAUUAAAUUG